CCAAUAUACAAAUUGCUCUCACACACGCACUACCCCUCCAUACACAUACUGCACCACUCACACACACACACUACACCCACUAUCCCUGCAGACCCUGGGUAAGUUAUCAACCGUUUCUUUUAAACGGUUUGACUACUUACUCUGGGAGGGCACCACAGCAAAUCCUGGCACCAAAACCACAACAGAGAGCUGUAGUGGUUAUUGUG